UACGUAGGCAGCGAGCGUUGUUCGGAGUUACUGGGCGUAAAGGGUGUGUAGGCGGUUGUUUAAGUGUGGGGUGAAAUCUCCUGGCUCAACUGGGAGGGUGCGCCGAAUACUGAAUGACUUGGAGUGCGGGAGAGGAAAGUGGAAUUCCUGGUGUAGCGGUGAAAUGCGUAGAUAUCAGGAGGAACACCGGUGGUGUAGACGGCUUUCUGGACCGUAACUGACGCUGAGACACGAAAGCGUGGGUAGCAAACAGG
rnacentral:rRNA from 1 species